rnacentral:rRNA from 1 species
UACGUAGGGUGCAAGCGUUGUCCGGAAUUAUUGGGCGUAAAGAGCUCGUAGGCGGUUUGUCGCGUCUGCUGUGAAAACUCAGGGCUUAACCCUGAGCCUGCAGUGGGUACGGGCAGACUAGAGUGUGGUAGGGGAGAUCGGAAUUCCUGGUGUAGCGGUGGAAUGCGCAGAUAUCAGGAGGAACACCGGUGGCGAAGGCGGAUCUCUGGGCCAUAACUGACGCUGAGGAGCGAAAGCAUAGGGAGCGAACAGG